AGGUAUCAGAGUUAUUGGUAUUCAACUUUUUCAACUUUGAUACUGAAAUAAAAAAUAGAAGAUCCAUUUUCGAUGUUCAACGAUGCUUCAAAAAUGAUGAUGACUAUCUAUGGGUUACUAUUGGUUUUAAUGCAGACGAAGCAAUAUUGAUGAAAAUCAGGGAUAAUGUCCCGAGUAUUCAAUCGAACAUUCUGAAUAGCAUUUACUCAACUUCUGAAUUAAACCCUGUUAGAGUACCUACCAUUCUAGUGGAUAUUAAAGAAGGAUUAUUUGUGACUUUAUUGAUACUAGGGAAGCCUCCAGUUCUUUGUAAGUUUUUUU